GACGAACGCAGGCGGCGUGCGUAAUACAUGCAAGUAGAACGCUGAAGGAGGAGCUUGCUCUUCUGGAUGAGUUGCGAACGGGUGAGUAACGCGUAGGUAACCUGCCUGGUAGCGGGGGAUAACUAUUGGAAACGAUAGCUAAUACCGCAUAAUAGUAGAUGUUGCAUGACAUUUACUUAAAAGGUGCAAUUGCAUCACUACCAGAUGGACCUGCGUUGUAUUAGCUAGUUGGUGGGGUAACGGCUCACCAAGGCGACGAUACAUAGCCGACCUGAGAGGGUGAUCGGCCACACUGGGACUGAGACACGGCCCAGACUCCUACGGGAGGCAGCAGUAGGGAAUCUUCGGCAAUGGACGAAAGUCUGACCGAGCAACGCCGCGUGAGUGAAGAAGGUUUUCGGAUCGUAAAGCUCUGUUGUAAGAGAAGAACGAGUGUGAGAGUGGAAAGUUCACACUGUGACGGUAUCUUACCAGAAAGGGACGGCUAACUACGUGCCAGCAGCCGCGGUAAUACGUAGGUCCCGAGCGUUGUCCGGAUUUAUUGGGCGUAAAGCGAGCGCAGGCGGUUAGAUAAGUCUGAAGUUAAAGGCUGUGGCUUAACCAUAGUACGCUUUGGAAACUGUUUAACUUGAGUGCAAGAGGGGAGAGUGGAAUUCCAUGUGUAGCGGUGAAAUGCGUAGAUAUAUGGAGGAACACCGGUGGCGAAAGCGGCUCUCUGGCUUGUAACUGACGCUGAGGCUCGAAAGCGUGGGGAGCAAACAGG
rnacentral:rRNA from 1 species